rnacentral:rRNA from 1 species
CAAUAGCGCAUAUUAAAGUUGUUGCAGUUAAAAAGCUCGUAGUUGGAUUUCUGGUGGGAGCGAUCGGUCUGGCGCUUAGCGCGAGUACUUGCAUCGUCUCCGGCCAUCCUUGGGGAGAGUCUGUCUGGCAUUAAGUUGUCGGGCAGAGGAUCCUCAUCGUUUACUGUGAAAAAAUUAGAGUGUUCAAAGCAGGCUUAUGCCGUUGAAUAUAUUAGCAUGGAAUAAUAAGAUAGGACUUUGGUACUAUUUUGUUGGUUUGCGCACCAAAGUAAUGAUUAAUAGGGACAGUUGGGGGUAUUCGUAUUCCGUUGUCAGAGGUGAAAUUCUUGGAUUUACGGAAGACGAACUACUGCGAAAGCAUUUACCAAGGAUGUUUNCAUUAA